rnacentral:rRNA from 1 species
CGCCGGGCCCUAUCAGCUUGUUGGUGGGGUAACGGCCCACCAAGGCGACGACGGGUAGCCGGCCUGAGAGGGCGACCGGCCACACUGGGACUGAGACACGGCCCAGGCUCCUACGGGAGGCAGCAGUGGGGAAUAUUGCACAAUGGGCGCAAGCCUGAUGCAGCGACGCCGCGUGAGGGAUGACGGCCUUCGGGUUGUAAACCUCUUUCAGCAGGGAAGAAGCGAAAGUGACGGUACCUGCAGAAGAAGCGCCGGCUAACUACGUGCCAGCAGCCGCGGUAAUACGUAGGGCGCAAGCGUUGUCCGGAAUUAUUGGGCGUAAAGAGCUCGUAGGCGGUUUGUCGCGUCUGCUGUGAAAACGCGAGGCUCAACCUCGCGCCUGCAGUGGGUACGGGCAGACCAGAGUGCGGUAGGGGAGACUGGAAUUCCUGGUGUAGCGGUGGAAUGCGCAGAUAUCAGGAGGAACACCGGUGGCGAAGGCGGGUCUCUGGGCCGUAACUGACGCUGAGGAGCGAAAGCAUGGGGAGCGAACAGGAUUAGAUACCCUGGUAGUCCAUGCCGUAAACGUUGGGCACUAGGUGUGGGGCUCACUCCACGAGUUCCGUGCCGCAGCAAACGCAUUAAGUGCCCCGCCUGGGGAGUACGG